UAUUUUGAUAUUGUCACUUAUGGAUUGUCCUCACUUUGCAAACUACUGAUAAAUUUGUAAGCCUGAAUUUCAAAAGAUGAGUUGUACCUUAUUUUAAGUUAGAACACCAAGUUCUUUUUCCCCUUAAAUUUUUGUUGGGUGUUAACUCCCUUAUUUGCUCAGUGACACUUAUUAUACAAGCGUUAUGAUCUUCAAUAAUGAGAAAAUAAAUCAUGAAAAAACAUCAUUAGUUUGCAUGGUAGUAUUUAAUAUUUUCCAAUCCUUGAGGACAUUGAAUGGAUAACUACAGUAAAGUUGAUGAAACUCCUUUUCUAUCAUUCAAAGGCCUCUUUUUACUGCUAUAAUAAUUUAGUUUUUCCAACUUGAAGUGCAUUUCAGUAUGAAAUUUGGACUUUGGCCUGAUCCUUGCAAAUGAACUAUAACCACCACAAGUCAAAAUAUAUUAUAAUCCAACCCUGUUUUGUAGAAAGGCUAGCAGAUAUGCUGGUAAAUAGGUGGCUACGAACUUCAUUAGAACAGUCUUUUAAGGUUUAACCAUAGUUGACAGCUUAUCACUGCUUAAUAGUGAUAUAAUUGAGGGAGGAGAAUUGCAUGUCCUUAUAACAAGGAGCUUUUUCACACAACUCAUUGAAGUAGAUCUCUUGAUUAGAAGGGCUGAGAGAUUCUUGGAGUCUGGAUGUCUGCAAAGAUACUGAGUCUCUGAGGGCAGACGUAAUUGCAAAGAUGAUUGGAAGACUUGGUCUCGAGAAAACCAUGUUUGAAGCAUCCAGCGCUGCAGAGUGAUUUAUCAAACGCUGUGGUCCCAGGAUAUAAAUACUCUUCCAUUACUGUACUUGCCUUGUGCAUUCAUGACAUCAUUGUUAAUGGCCUGUUUUCUCAAGCGAACCUCUUCGUGGAUCACUCUCAAGUAGUUGGUCUAGAGUGCCUCUGGGGUCACAACUUGAGUAAAAGAAAUGCUUCUUUCGUUGCUUCACAAUAUUUUUUUUCUGUACUGAACUGUCGUUCUGUGGUGAGUGCUGACUAUGCCUCGUUGGAAGUCAACCGGUUAUGCCACUGCUGUAAUUUUGUGAUGUUUGAACUAAUAACGCUUAAAGUACCUGAUAUUCUCUGUUCUGCAAUGUUGAUUUGUAGUGAUUCUUAUUCCUUGUUGGAAGUCAACUGGCUGUGAGGCCAUUGUAAUUUUGUGACUUUUAUACUGAGAAUUCUAACGAGUGUGUUUAGGCACCGGUUAAGGAGUAAUUAAACUAUUUUAAUUUUUAACCUGUUUAUAUAAUAUAUGUAAACACAUUCUCAAAGUCAUGAUCAUGUGCAUGAUCCCUAUUGGAACAUGAUCAGGUGGGUGUUGCUGGAAUUCAUUGGGUGUAUAAUAAUGAACUUCUGCUGCAGGUUGGAUUAUAGUAGUAUCAUGGAAUAUGGAAAUUAUGGAAAUGUCUGUGAACGUGACUUAAAUUAAAGGUUAAAGGAGUAAGUCAUGUCUUAACUAGUGCCGCCUGUCACGCUUUGGCAAAGAGCUAAAUCUAAUUUCUCUGCAUAAGACAACAAGAAGUGAAAAGGUGAAAACUUAACUGAUGAGCUAAUUCGAUGAUAACAUAUCUUCCUGGACUUGCCACUGUUACUAUGGUUGGUUCAACAAAGGAAACAAGGUGCAAAAACAGGGCGUAGAGCACUAAAAGAGAAACAACUUGUCCAGGAGAAUAGAAAUGGUUGCCUUCCCUUGAUUUUGACUUGGCAGUUUGAGUGCUCCAUACAGAGCCUUUCGAGUAUUAUAUAAAGAUCAGAAGCAAAAGGGAGCCGAAAGAGAAUAAAGAAUAGAAAUAAUGCCUGCUUUUUGGUUUUCUCUGAAGAGAUCAUUGCAUUGCAAAUCACAGCCAUCUGAUGUGCACGAUCCAAAGGCCAGGAGCUAUCUGAACAACGUUCAGACAAGAAAGUCAUGCGGAUUUGGCUGCUCGAGAUCCGUGUCAAAUUUAAGAGACGUAAUUCAUGGAAGCAAGAGACACAUAGAGAAGCCACCAAGUUGCAGUCCAAGAUCUCUGGAGAGCAGUGAUUUCAUUAACCCCAUAACCCACGAGGUAGUCCUUAGCAAGUCCACAUGUGAACUAAAGAUUACUGGGUUCGGUGGCAAUAGCGGUGGCAAGGGUUUCUCUUCUACUUUCGUGGGUACCGUUAACCCAGGAACACCUGUCCCUGGAGGCCAUGAAAUGGCUUCCCAUUAUAACACCAGAAGGUAAAAUAGCCUUUCAAGAAAGAUAAAUGGUGAUUCUCCUUUUUUUGGCUGUGGCACUGGCAGUGGUACGUCUUCCAAGCACGAGUUCUGUUGAUAAAAAAUUUUCCGCUUCCUCAGCUCUAAUUUGCAAAAAAUGUUGCGAGAGGUUAAAGACAUUGGAGAUUGUUGAAACACAUCGUCUCUCCUAACAUGCUGUCUAAAUUGGUCAAAGGGAACUCAAAUGUCAUUCUCCUUGCACAGUUACUGAACUUGUAGAAGGCGACUUAUCUAGAAAGAUAGUAGAAAUAAUCUGCAGAGCAAGAUGGCUAAAAUGUGAGGCCAACUCUAUCCAUAUAGAAAGGGUUCUCAAGGUCCACAGCAUGCAAAUCACCGUUGCUUAAUUUGAAGAACAUAGAGAAAUGGUGAAGAUCAAAGCUUGUAAGCUGCCCACAAGACACCCACGCUGCCUUGCUGAUGGAAAUGAGCUCUUAAGGUUCCAUGGAAUAGCCAUUGCUUGUUCUCUUGGCCUGAAUGGCUCUUCUAGCCUCUGUACAUUGGAGAAAUGUGGUGUUUGCCAAAUUUUGAGACAUGGGUUCUCCGAGAAAGACCUUCAAGGUUGUGUUGGUAUUUUUACUGCUUCCACCAGUGGAAGAGCCAUGGAGUGUUUUGAACUUAGCCAAGACAAUCAUUCCGCUGCAAGAAAGGCUUUGUUGGUAUACAGAGUUAUUGCUGGGAGGGUUCAUAAACCUCUGGAGAAAUUUCAAGAAAUGGCAGGCCAACCAGGCUUUGACUCAUUGGCUGGGAAAGUUGGUCAAUAUUCUAAUAUUGAGGAACUGUAUCUACUAAAUCCCAAAGCCCUCCUCCCUGGCUUUGUAGUAAUUUG
rnacentral:misc_RNA from 1 species